GAUGAACGCUAGCGACAGGCCUAACACAUGCAAGUCGAGGGGCAGCGAGCCGUAGCAAUACGGUGUCGGCGACCGGCGAAUGGGUGAGUAACGCGUAUGCAACCUUUCCGCAAAACGGGGAUAGCCUUCCGAAAGGAAGAUUAAUACCUGAUGGCCUUGCCGGACCGCAUGGUAUGGCAAGUAAAAAUUUAUUGAUUGCGGGUGGGCAUGCGUCCCAUUAGGCAGUUGGCGGGGUAACGGCCCACCAAACCGACGAUGGGUAGGGGUUCUGAGAGGAAAAUCCCCCACAUUGGAACUGAGACACGGUCCAAACUCC
rnacentral:rRNA from 1 species